rnacentral:sRNA from 1 species
ACCUGGGCCUGCACGCUCAUGUCGAGGGCGGAGGUCGGCUCGUCGAGCAUGACGAACUGGGGCUUCAGCACCAUCGCCCGGGCGAUCGCGAUGCGCUGGCGCUGACCGCCGGAAAAUUCGUGCGGAUAGCGCCAGCGCGUGGC